UAGGUUGCGUAAGCAAAAUUCGUAGCUAUUAUUAUUUAUUACUAAUAUUUUUUUUUCACCCAGCAUAGCGUUCGAUUCGAGAAUUCUCUAACCAAGAGGAAUAGCGCACGACAAGAGGUGAAACGAAACGGCAAAUUCGCGAACGAAGUGCUACAAAAUUCACCAUUUCAUAGUUAGCUGUUGUAGACAGAUGAAUGAUGCGACGUAUCGACGCGUUACACGGAAAUCCCGGCCAAAUGUUUGCAAUGGACAGAGUAAUAUUAUUGCAGGCGACGCACGCGUGAGACGGAAUCACCGGAUCGCGUCGAUAGUUUAUGAAAAUCGUGUCGGAUAGUCACUCAAUUAACCAGCCGGAACGGUGCAGUAUAACGGUUUUAUAUAAUAUACGAUAUAUCACAACCGAACUUAUUGCAUCAGAAAUCGUUCUAGGAUGAUGUGCGCAAACCCUAUUAAAGUUCGAUCUUCAAGAGAUUUCAUCUGACACUUGCCGGUUUUGCACGAAGAAACGGUGCAUAAGGUUACACAGUUAUAUUGUGGGACUUGAAAGUUUAUAAGAGAUAAGAAAGCAGGGGAGUCCAAAGAAUUAGAUAACAGACCUCUUAGAAAAUACUUGCCUGACAUCCGCCUACAGUCAGCAUGAGAGAGUCUAGAUCAAGAGACUGGAGUGUAAUCGUGAGAGGGACUUUGCAGAAUGUCGAAAAUAUGAAUAUUAUAAUACCCUUCGUGCAGCACAAACGUCACGAUAUUACACAUAAUAAUUCAUCAUCCAAUAUUCACAGAGGCCAGAGAAUAAUGUCAAAUUCUAGACGACCGGCAUACAGCAAAAAUAUAUAGGACCUUAUUCUGACACAAAAAUAAUAAUUACUUUGUUUAAAAAAAAUUGAAAUGUACAACUUAUUAGCUAAUAUUAU